AUGAAGGGCACAGGGCCUCGAUGUAUAGAAAAAUCAAGGCCAAGCCCAACACCCAACCAACCAGCUCUUUGUUUCCUUGUGGUACAGGGGCUGGACUUAGGCCUCAACCCCUCUUUUUUGUUUGUCGUCGCCUCCUGCCUCGGCCUCCCAGAGCCGCAGCACUGCCCAUGUACUUGCCACGCUGACCUCCCUCCCAGGCACCAGCUGGGGUUGUUCCUUGUGACAGGCGGCAGUGAAGGAAGCGGCCGGACAGAGCUCUCGCGGGGCUUCGACCGGAGGACGCGGGCCGUGUUACUGGCUCUGGGCGAGGCCGUGUCCGUGCUGUCCCGCACUCCACCCACCUGCACGGGAGCUCGCGUCCUCACAGACCUGGCCCAGAGACCUGUGAUGGGCGGACAGAUGAGUCCCAGGUGGAUGCUCGCAAGCAUGAGGAGGGAGCACCGGAAACCAUGGUUCCUGGGAGAGUGACCAUCCCAACAAAAGGAUUCAGCGCAAUUCAGCACACCAUUGAGCGCGAAGCCACGGUUUCUCAUGCAAACGCCUGGCCGGAGCUCCUCAGCAUCCGGGGCGACUUUUACAGUUAAAGCCCAGGGGCCAGGCUUGUUUUCUAAUUACCAUUUCCUUUGGGUGCGAAAGUGUUUGUUCCUUAUUUGGGCCACUGUGGGGCAGGACCUAAGCCAGGUUAAAAGAAAUGCCUUUCAUUUGCCUAGUUUCAAAGAUACAAAAGAAUUUCUCACUCUGCAAAUCCCGGGAGAGUUUGGGGAAGAAUGUGUCACCUCGGGGCAGUGAGGCUCUCCUUCCCGCUACGGCCCGAGGGAGCCCGCCUUCAAAGGUGAGGUCGCAGCCGCCGGUCCCUUCUCGCUCGGCAGGGGACGUAAGGUCCGCUCUGCCCCUGCGACUUCGGCCCCAUUGUCUGGUGGGGCCGGAUUGCUGAGAUAACAGAACACAGGCUGAAAGUGGCUUCAGUUCUGUAAACUUCAGCCCUCACGGCCCCUUCAAACGGGGGGAAUCGAAUAUAAGUGAACAUGUGUGAGAUCUGCUGGAAAAUAACACAAAGCUUGUCCCUUCCGGGUCAGCUAAUACAUCAAAGAAUAACUUUAAGUCUGUCACGCUUUUGCGAUUACGAUUAAAGUUCAGAUUAAUGCACCGUUCAGGUCUAUUCUGAAGUUAUAAAGAUGAGCCUGAGCCUUUGGACCAGCGUUUUCCGUAUGGGACCCUACUUUACAAAUCACCAGAUGGAAAUGGAGAUCACGCCCCGCCCGUGCCAGCGCGCGGCGCAGGGAAGCAGGCGAGGGCCUCUUCAGCCGCCACACACACCGAUGUCUUCAUCUGCAAGACCCUGAAGUUAGGAGGCGGUCAGUAUUCAAAAAGGGUUUCCAAUUCCAGGAACCAAGUAACACAUUUAGACUGC
rnacentral:lncRNA from 1 species